CGGACCAAGGAGUCUAGCAUGUGCGCGAGUCAUUGGGAACGAUCGUAAACCCAGAGGCGAAAUGAAAGUGAAAGGCGCCCCCCCGCGGGGCGCCGCAGGGAAGAUGCGCGGACGGCGCCAGCCGCCCCGCCGCAUUCCCGAGGCGUUUCGAGAAAGCCACCGCGUGACUAUCGAGACGCACUGAGAGCGUACACGCUGGGACCCGAAAGAUGGUGAACUAUGCCUGGUCAGGUCGAAGUCAGGGGAAACCCUGAUGGAGGACCGAAGCGAUUCUGACGUGCAAAUCGAUCGUCCGAACUGGGUAUAGGGGCGAAAGACUAAUCGAACUAUCUAAUAGCUGGUUCCAUCCGAAG
rnacentral:rRNA from 1 species